CCUACGGGAGGCAGCAGUGGGGGAUAUUGCACAAUGGGGGGAACCCUGAUGCAGCGACGCCGCGUGAGCGAUGGAGUACUUCGGUAUGUAAAGCUCUGUCAGCAGGGAAGAAAAGGACGGUACCUGACCAAGAAGCCCCGGCUAAAGACGUGCCAGCAGCCGCGGUAAGACGUAUGGGGCAAGCGUGAUCCGGAUUUACUGGGUGGAAGGGGAGCGUAGGCGGCAGGGCAAGCCUGAUGUGAACGCCCGGGGCUCCCCCCCGGGACUGCAGUGGGAACGGCCCUGCUGUAGUGCCGGGGGGGCGGGCGGCUUUCCUCGUGUAGCGGUGAAAUGCGUAGAUAUUAGGAGGAACACCAGUGGCGACGGCGGCCUGCUGGACGGUGCCUGACGCUGAGGCUCGAACGCGUGGGGAGCAAACAGGAUUAGAUACCCUUGUAGUC
rnacentral:rRNA from 1 species